UCUGGCAUCUGUGUCGCGCCCCCGCCACCAACACAGCCGCCACCGCCGCCGCUUCCACCGCCGCCGCCGCCGCCGGGCCCAGCGUGCUCCCAGCCAGUCUUUCGCCACGAGUCUUGCAUCGUGCGCCGACACCCCGCGUCCGCCCCGUAGACAGACAGAUAGAUAGAUAGACUCACCACAGAAAGCUUAGCGUAGAUCAAGAAGAAUAUUUUUGCAUAAAAUUCCAGCAUUUUUUUGUAAGGUUGUGAAGGUAGAAAGAAAUUAAUAGAAGAAUCUUAGUAUUUUACAUCGAGAAAAGCAUUAAACAAAAAAAGAGAGAAAAAAUAAACCACAUGAAACUUUUUUAUCUUCAGUAUUAAAAAGUAAAAAAAAAUAGAGAAAGUUUACAUAGAUAUUUUUUGAAGAAGUGAAGACUAUAGAUAGAUAUAUAAUAGAGAGAGAGAGAGACAGAUCAUAUAUAUUUCCAUAAAACUGUAGUGAAAGAGUGAGAAACAAAAAAAAAAAAAAGAGGAACGAUAUAUAUUUGUAUUUUUGAAGGAACAUACAACAAAUAAUGUAAAAGUAGAAGAAAAAAAAAAAAAAACUGUGAACUUAAACAUACAAUAGAAAAAAAAAAACUAAGAAAUUGAAAUGAAAAAAAGAUGAAGCGAGUGUAGUAAAGGAAAAUUAAUGAAGUAACAGGAAUAAAGAACUUGUGAGAAAAUAGAGAUAAAUGUAGAAAUAGAAACACUUGAUCACGCGAACCAGAACUCAAAGAAGCGAUGAUUGAUGAAAAGGAAGCAGAAUAAGAACGAGAAGAUCAAGAUUUGUGAGUAAAGGAAGGGAGGAGAAUGAAGCGUCAGAGUGAGGAACGUUAGUGCAUUCAUGAAUCAAAUUUAGUGGUAAUAGAGAGUGGUUACUGAGGAAGACAUUGAAUAAACUUAUUAAAAAAGGACUAAUGAAUGAAGGAAGGAAGAAAUAGUGAACAAAAGACAGAUGAAUGAGCGAGGCAAGUGUAUUGGAAGACUAACAAUAUCAAUUCAUACAAAUUAGAAAACAGUAACGAAUGAAGGGAGAAAUAGUGAACAAAAUACAGAUGAAUGAGAGAAGCAAAUAUAUUGGAAGGUUAACAGUAUCAAAUCAUGCAAAUUGAGGUUGAAACUCAGCACAAAUAAAUAAAAAAGAGAGAAAAAAUAGAAGAAAAUAAGGAAUGAAAGUAAUAAUAACACGAAACAGAAAUAAGAAGUGUGUGAAAAGAUAAACAACUUUGUACCAUGCAAACUGAAAUGAAGUGAUAAAAAAACAGAUGAAUUUAAAACCACACGAGUGAAAUGAAAGGAGAAAUUAGAAAAACAAGGAAUAAGAAUUGAAGGCAAGGAAUUAUUGGCAGGAAGGAAAGAUGACGAGAGUGUAUUGAGAGACAUGAGAACCUUAAAUGAUACACACUGACACAAAACUAAAAUAAACAUCUCUACAGACCCACACGGCUGAAAUAAAAAAAAAAAUCUGCAUAAAAUUAAGAAAUGAAUGUAGAAACUAUCAACUAACAAACUAAGAAGCAGACAAACUUUGGAGGCACUCAAUUUAAAAGAUAAAUAAAAAGAAACACUAUUUUAAAACACCUACAAUGACACUGAACCUUCACCGGACCACAGACAACACGCACGAGGAAAAGAACCCUACAAAACACCCCAAAUAAAACAUUCCCAGCCCCAAAACCAAAGAAGCUGAAUAUCCUUUGAAAAAUCAGAAGGAAAACACAAGAGGAGAAGAAAAAAGAAAGAUGAUUCAGAGGCAGAGAGCGAAAACAAACGAGGUUGAGACGUGAAAUCUUUGUAACAGGAAAGAGUAGCAAGUGUUUUGAGAGCUUGCACUAAAGGGAGAGAGAGAGAGAAAGGAGUUAGAGAAGAAAAGUUAACGAAAUAAGCAGCAAUUUAAGUUUUUUGUAAUAAGAAAGAGUAGCAAGGGUUUAGAGAGCUCAGCGUGCAGGAGAACGAAAGAGGAGGAUAAAAUAACAUUGAAAAGAAAAAAAAAUCUCCAAGGAAUAAAUAAAAGAGGGAAUUACUAAAAGAAAAGGAUAAAAGGACAUCCAAACGAGACAGAUAAAGACAUAUAAGCAAAAACACCAAAAAAUUAGAAGAGAAAACCCCUUUGUAAACAUAAAAAAGAGAGAGAAAAACGAGAAAAAAAAAAGACAGAAGACAUAUCAAAUUUAGAAGAGAACCCCGUCACUCACUCUCAGGAAAAGGAAAGAAAACGGGGGUCACAAGCUUCAAGUCGAGUAUAGGAGAGAACAAAACCUUUCAUCUGUAGGGAAGAGGAAGAAAAAACGCCACAACCAAUUGGAGAGGAGAAAAACAACCCCUUGAAGGUACACAGGAAGGAAAAAAAAUACAAGACUUCAGGUUAAACAGAGAAGCAACAUAUUUCUCCAAGG
rnacentral:lncRNA from 1 species